rnacentral:rRNA from 1 species
UACGUAGGGUGCAAGCGUUAAUCGGAAUUACUGGGCGUAAAGCGUGCGCAGGCGGUUUUGUAAGCCAGAUGUGAAAUCCCCGGGCUCAACCUGGGAAUGGCAUUUGGGACUGCAAGGCUGGAGUGUGGCAGAGGAGACUGGAAUUCCUGGUGUAGCAGUGAAAUGCGUAGAUAUCAGGAGGAAUACCGAUGGCGAAGGCAGGUCUCUGGGCUGACACUGACGCUCAUGCACCGAAAGCGUGGGGAGCAAACAGG